UCCCAAGGGUAUGGCUGUUCGCCAUUUAAAGUGGUACGCGAGCUGGGUUUAGAACGUCGUGAGACAGUUCGGUCCCUAUCUGCCGUGGGCGCUGGAGAACUGAGGGGGGCUGCUCCUAGUACGAGAGGACCGGAGUGGACGCAUCACUGGUGUUCGGGUUGUCAUGCCAAUGGCACUGCCCGGUAGCUAAAUGCGGAAGAGAUAAGUGCUGAAAGCAUCUAAGCACGAAACUUGCCCCGAGAUGAGUUCUCCCUGACUCCUUGAGAGUCCUGAAGGAACGUUGAAGACGACGACGUUGAUAGGCCGGGUGUGUAAGCGCAGCGAUGCGUUGAGCUAACCGGUACUAAUGAACCGUGAGGCUUAACCUU
rnacentral:rRNA from 1 species